UCCGGUCGCCAUAGCGAAGGGGAAACACCCGUUCCCAUCCCGAACACGGCAGUUAAGCCCUUCAGCGCCGAUGGUACUGUGACCGACGGCGUCACGGGAGAGUAGGACGCGGCCGGGG
rnacentral:rRNA from 1 species